rnacentral:rRNA from 1 species
GACGAACGCUGGCGGCGUGCCUAAUACAUGCAAGUCGAGCGGAUGGAAGGAAGCUUGCUUCCUAAAGUCAGCGGCGGACGGGUGAGUAACACGUGGGCAACCUGCCCCUAAGAUCGGGAUAACUUCGGGAAACCGGAGCUAAUACCGGAUAUGAUUAUGUCUCACAUGAGACAUAAUGGAAAGACGGUUUCGGCUGUCACUUAGGGAUGGGCCCGCGGCGCAUUAGCUAGUUGGUGAGGUAACGGCUCACCAAGGCGACGAUGCGUAGCCGACCUGAGAGGGGGAUCGGCCACACUGGGACUGAGACACGGCCCAGACUCCUACGGGAGGCAGCAGUAGGGAAUCUUCCGCAAUGGACGAAAGUCUGACGGAGCAACGCCGCGUGAGUGAAGAAGGUUUUCGGAUCGUAAAACUCUGUUGUUAGGGAAGAACAAGUACCAUAGUAACUGAUGGUACCUUGACGGUACCUAACCAGAAAGCCACGGCUAACUACGUGCCAGCCGCCGCCGUAACAC